UUCUAUCAUUCCUUUUCAGACUUCUAAGUAUUACCUUCAAACUAGUGAUUUGAGAAUUUCAGAAAAACACAUUCAAGGAGAGGGGCUUCCAAACCAUAACUUCUUUUUUUUACCUCUCCUAGAAAUCUGUAGUUUUACAUGUCUUGCUGACUCAGGAGAGGAAAGACAUCUUUGCCUCUUAACCAGUUGUCCUCGCCACCCCCUCAGCCCCGAACUGCCGCUGGCUCUGCAAAUCACAGAACUUAGACUGACCCUGCCGGCUUUGCAGCAGCAGGGCAGGCCUGAUGGUGAAGGGAGAUCUCCUGACCACUGAAAGGAGUCUUUUCUCAUUCUGGCCCAGUUCCCUAUCUGCGGGUUCAUCAUCUUUCAUAUCUCUCUGGUGGUCAAACUAAAUCUGAUGCAGAAUUGGAAACAUGAAGUUAUAUGAUGAUGUUGAAUUGCCACAACAGCUACUACUGCAAUUUUAGGUUUACUGAUAUUAUUUGCUGCCAGCUUCUGUAUGUAUUGCUCUAACAUUUGUUAGCUCUCUUCAGGAUACGGACCGGAAAUUUAAGUAAAAAAGAAAGGAAAUACUACCAGUAAUUUUUAUAUUAGCAGAAAAUUCUCUCCUCUGAGUAUUUGUUUCAGGGAUAUAGUAUUGUCAUUCUUUUGAUCCAGGAAAGAUUUAUGAAUCCUCAAGAGCCAUUCAUACCAGCUUAAUGGCAGUGUUGUCUAGCUUGAGAAAUGUUAUGUCACUGAGACCCAAAGGGGAGACAAGUAAAGGGUUUAGUUUCAUUUUAAGCAGAGUAUCACUGCCAGGGAUACAGAAAACUUAAUUUCCUUUCAACCUCUGCUGCCAGGUCUUGACUCAUGUUUUCUGUGUGUUUUAACGUGGAUGAUCCUGGGACAGCUGAGUUAUUGCAGACUGGAGCAACACUUGGACUUAACUUCUGAUGUACAGGAAAGAAUAAUGAGGGUCAUGCUAAAUCCCACAACACAAAGGAUCUGUACAAAAUACCACCUUUUCUUAGGAUAUAUUUCCCUAAUAGGUUUGUAA